rnacentral:rRNA from 1 species
AGUGAACGCUGGCGGUAGGCCUAACACAUGCAAGUCGAACGGCAGCACAGUAAGAGCUUGCUCUUACGGGUGGCGAGUGGCGGACGGGUGAGGUAUACAUCGGAAUCUACUUUUUCGUGGGGGAUAACGUAGGGAAACUUACGCUAGUACCGCAUACGACCUACGGGUGAAAGCAGGGGAUCUUCGGACCUUGCGCGAUUGAAUGAGCCGAUGUCGGAUUAGCUAGUUGGCGGGGUAAAGGCCCACCAAGGCGACGCUCCGUAGCUGGUCUGAGAGGAUGAUCAGCCACACGGGAACUGAGACACGGUCCAGACUCCUACGGGAGGCAGCAGUGGGGAAUAUUGGACAGGGGGCGGAAGCCUGAUCCAGCCAUACCGCGUGGGUGAAGAAGGCCUUCGGGUUGUAAAGCCCUUUUGUUGGGAAAGAAAAGCAGCAGGUUAAUACCCCGCUGUUCUGACGGAACCCAAAGAAUAAGCACCGGCUAACUUCGU